UUAGCUGGUCUGAGAGGAUGGCCAGCCACACUGGAACUGAGACACGGUCCAGACUCCUACGGGAGGCAGCAGUGGGGAAUAUUGGACAAUGGGGGCAACCCUGAUCCAGCAAUGCCGCGUGUGUGAAGAAGGCCUGAGGGUUGUAAAGCACUUUCAGUGGGGAGGAGGAUUGACAGGUUAAGAGCUAGUUAAUUGGACGUUACCCACAGAAGAAGCACCGGCUAACUCCGUGCCAGCAGCCGCGGUAAUACGGAGGGUGCGAGCGUUAAUCGGAAUUACUGGGCGUAAAGGGUUCGUAGGUGGUUUGYUAAGUUAUCUGUGAAAUCCCUGGGCUUAACCUGGGCAGGUCAGAUAAGACUGGUAGACUCGAGUAUGG
rnacentral:rRNA from 1 species